UAACAGGAGAUGCUUCUUCAAUAUGGUGUCUCAGUAAAUUGGAAUUCUGCAAAAUAUACAGACAUGAAAAUCUUUAUGCACAUCAUUUGCUUCACUGGAACAGUGAUUAUUAUUCAACAGUUAGAAAGGUGCCUUUCAUGCUAGUGGUUGCUCUGUCGAGGUCUAUAAGCUCCAAGUGAGACCCACGGAGAAUAAUGUUGACUUCUUCUGUGUGAUGACACUGACCAUAACAACAUUUUGCUUCAAAAGAGAUGUCUGAAAGUCUUCAGAAAGUGAGUUGCAUGGGUAAGUCUCAAAUGGCUGUCAGCUUCAAAGUCUAUCAAAAUUUUGUUAUGCAUUUGGGAAAUCCUCCUGUUAUUAUGAUCUAACUUCAGACAUGUAAAAGAAGUGAAACUGCAGCUUUAGUAAACUAAAGAAUGUAAAUUUUCAAGAUC
rnacentral:lncRNA from 1 species